UACAGAGGGUGCGAGCGUUGUUCGGAAUUAUUGGGCGUAAAGCGCGUGUAGGCGGUGGUGCAUGUCGGGUGUGAAAGCCCUCGGCUUAACCGAGGAAGUGCGCCCGAAACUGCAUCGCUCGAGUGCCGGAGAGGGUGGCGGAAUUCCGGGUGUAGAGGUGAAAUUCGUAGAUAUCCGGAGGAACACCAGUGGCGAAGGCGGCCACCUGGACGGACACUGACGCUGAGACGCGAAAGCGUGGGGAUCAAACAGGAUUAGAUACCCUGGUAGUCCACGCUGUAAACGAUGGGAACUAGGUGUGGUGGGUGUUGACCCCUGCCGUGCCGCAGCUAACGCAUUAAGUUCCCCGCCUGGGAAGUACGGUCGCAAGACUAAA
rnacentral:rRNA from 1 species